AGUGAACGCUGGCGGUAGGCCUAACACAUGCAAGUCGAACGGCAGCACAGUAAGAGCUUGCUCUUACGGGUGGCGAGUGGCGGACGGGUGAGGAAUACAUCGGAAUCUACUUUUUCGUGGGGGAUAACGUAGGGUAACUUACGCUAAUACCGCAUACGACCUACGGGUGAAAGCAGGGGAUCUUCGGACCUUGCGCGAUUGAAUGAGCCGAUGUCGGAUUAGCUAGUUGGCGGGGUAAAGGCCCACCAAGGCGACGAUCCGUAGCUGGUCUGAGAGGAUGAUCAGCCACACUGGAACUGAGACACGGUCCAGACUCCGACGGGAGGCAGCAGUGGGGAAUAUUGGACAAUGGGCGCAAGCCUGAUCCAGCCAUACCGCGUGGGUGAAGAAGGCCUUCGGGUUGUAAAGCCCUUUUGUUGGGAAAGAAAAGCAGCAGGUUAAUACCCCGCUGUUCUGACGGUACCCAAAGAAUAAGCACCGGCUAACUUCGUG
rnacentral:rRNA from 1 species